GAUGAACGCUGGCGGCGUGCUUAACACAUGCAAGUCGAACGGAAAGGCUCCUGCUUGCAGGGGUACUCGAGUGGCGAACGGGUGAGUAACACGUGGGUGAUCUGCCCUGCACUUCGGGAUAAGCCCGGGAAACUGGGUCUAAUACCGGAUAGGACGAUGGUUUGGAUGCCAUUGUGGAAAGUUUUUCGGUGUGGGAUGAGCUCGCGGCCUAUCAGCUUGUUGGUGGGGUAAUGGCCUACCAAGGCGUCGACGGGUAGCCGGCCUGAGAGGGUGUACGGCCACAUUGGGACUGAGAUACGGCCCAGACUCGUACGGGAGGCAGCAGUGGGGAAUAUUGCACAAUGGGCGCACGCCUGAUGCAGCGACGCCGCGUGGGGGAUGACGGCCUUCGGGUUGUAAACUCCUUUCGCUAGGGACGAAGCGCAAGUGACGGUACCUGGAGAAGAAGCACCGGCUAACUACGUG
rnacentral:rRNA from 1 species